rnacentral:rRNA from 1 species
UACGGAGGAUGCAAGCGUUAUCCGGAAUCACUGGGUUUAAAGGGUGCGUAGGCGGCCUUGUAAGUCAGAGGUGAAAGCUCGUGGCUUAACCAUGAAACUGCCUUUGAAACUACAAAGCUUGAAUUAGGCUGAGGUAUGCGGAAUGUGACAUGUAGCGGUGAAAUGCAUAGAUAUGUCAUAGAACACCAAUUGCGAAGGCAGCAUACUAGACCUUAAUUGACGCUGAGGCACGAAAGCGUGGGUAGCGAACAGG